CCCGAGGAAAAAGGAAGGUUACUGCAUUUUGUUGUACAAUAAAUAUAAAUGUAGUAAUGUUAAUUAAUUAAAUCAAUGUGGUUGGUUGCAUGUUGUUUUUUAGUGGUGACUGCUGCUCUUAUUAGUUUUCAUACAUUUAAAAUGAUUGUUUUACAAUUUUCAAUCAAAUUUUAAUUAUACAACGAAUGCAUAAAUCCAAUUUGUUCUGUAAAAACAUGCAUGCUUCAGAAAUAAAGCUAAAAGUCUUUGAUCACCAUCCCUAAAUUCAGUCCCCAUCCCCUUAAGAGGGAUCAGUUGCUAUCAGGUUGCUAUAUACAAAUAACAGACCUUUAUUUCUAUGCAAGUACAUCCAUACAUAUGUUUUAGGCUUAAUUCAGAAAUUCUUCCUGGAGUCAAUAUAUGUGUGCUUCAUAAUUUUUGCCUCCUGAAGAUCAUGGUAAUGCAUUUCAGGAGCUAUUGUCAAAAAGUGUUAAUACACCAAUUUGUUGAUGCAUUGUACAAAAUCUAGCCAGCUGUACACAUCUUGGCAGGUGUACCCAAAUGAACCACUCUUGUUCCCUCUGGAACAAAAUUGGAAUUGUUAGACAGAAUUCCAAUAUGAUACUGAACAUCAACAUGUUUGAACAAAUGCUGAAAAUGGCAAUUCUCUCACCUCCAGCCUUAAAUCUUAGAUUCCUAAAAUUGACCAUCGAAGUUGAAUGAAAAUAAAUUUUCCUAAAGCAAGGAGCCCCAUUCACCUAACUUCUGCCCUCUCCUGUUAAUAACAUUUUGCAUUAUUUUACCCCCUUUAUUAAACAUAUUGAAGAGAAGAUGAAACUGGAAUAAGAUCAUUCUUAACCAAUAUGUUUUGAGUUUUCUAGUGAAAAACAGAAAUCAUUUAACAUGAUUUUUAUCUGACACAAUCUUCAAAAUUUCCCCAAGCCAAUUUUUCUUUUUCGAAUAUAUAUAAAUUCUGCUGCUUUUAAGUGAUACUUGUCCAUUAUUAAAUUCCUGACGCCGUGCAUCCCUG
rnacentral:lncRNA from 10 species